CGGGAUAGCUCAGCUGGUAGAGCAAAGGACUGAAAAUCCUCGUGUCCAAUUUUCAAAUAACAA
rnacentral:tRNA from 1 species